GUUUUCACUUGAAAUGAUAAUAACUUAAUUACUUCCCCUCUUUUACAUUUCUUCUUUCUUUCUCAAAUAAUUUAUUUAUUAAUUGCAUUUUUUUAUUUUUGAGGAAACAAUUUAGUUUUCCUUGAUGGAUGGUGGAAUGCAAUGUAACGAUCUAAGAUAGGCCCAUUAUAAUAAUAUAAGUCCAAGUUAUAGUCAUCCUAGUUUCCUGCUCUGUAGAGCUUCCCUCCAUACAUGUUAGUCAUCAAUUUUCUAAACAAUUUAACAUUUUAUUAAUUUCUUGGCAAUUUUAUGUGUUGUUAGUGCUGAAAUAAUCAUAUAGGACAUUCAUUUUUCAGUUUCCAAUUAUGGGUUACCAUUACCACUCAGUUCAUUUUAAUGUAGAUUCAAUAGCACAUCCUUAGAGUAAGAGUCCUUGAUACCUUUAUUUUUCAGAAAGAGCCACCUGAGCUCCAAACCAAUUCUAAGUCAUAUCCUAUGGCCAUCAAUUCUACAUGUAGACGGUUGGAAAAAACAUUUAGAAGAUGUUAUGCACCAGGUUCAUCAUUAUCUUCAAAAACAUCUUCAUAAGUAAAAUCUAGCAUGAUAAUUCCAUAAGUAAUUUUUAAUUCUUGAGUUUGGAUUCAGUUGAUAUAAAAUAAUACUUUCACUUAGCAUUUUCAAACGGUGAAACAUCUCGGAGAAUGAAUGUUUUGAUCCUACUCCAGUAUUAUUUUAUGUAAAGUAUAUUGGGCAGCGAAGCGACUUAUGUUUUCCAUGAGGGAUUUGAUUGAACCCCAUUUUAGAUAGAUGUCAUUGUAAAACUAGAUUUGUUAGAUGAGUAAUCUAUGUAUGAGCAAUUAGUUCUUCAUAAGGAUAUUUCUAACCAUGUUUAACAUUAUUUCGACACACUCACAAAAAUAAUUUUAUGUAUGUGUUCAAAUAUUUUUAUUUGGUGUUGUGCCUAAGUAUUUCUUAUUUCUUAUAAGAGUAAUACUAUUUUAUGAUAACUUUUGACUCAAUUUUUAUUUUUUUUCUUUUUAUUGGUCAAAAAGAAUAGAGAGAGUAAGAAUGCAAUGCAAAUAUAACAAAAAAAAGUGUUCAAAAAUUAUACUUUUUUUUUUUUUUGAAGGAUAAAAAUUAUACUUUUAAAAUUGACAUGAGAAGCUCUAAAAGAAGGAGGUAAAAUAAUAGUUAUUUUGGUCUUUGAAUGUAAAUCGUGUGAUCACAAUAGUCUCUCAAUGAAGUUGGUUGUUUAUGAUUCCAAGACUAGUACUUUGAAUAUUCCUGAGUUUCAAAAUAAUUAUAGACAAAUAUGCCGAAAUUAACGUCUACAUUGAUAUCAACUUAAGUAGGUAUUCAACUACAACAUAUAAAUAAAUGGUUAGUUUUUGUUUGUGUAAUUUAUUUUAUGCUUCCUUUGAUUCUUGGUGACUUGUUGGAUCAUUGUUAAUCAAUGGUUGUUAGUGAGUAGUGAGCCUUGGUCCAGUAUCCGAUGCCGAGGUCCCCAGAGGUUUUUUAACCUUCACUAAAGCUAGCUAAUUUUGGAUUUGGUGAAAGUUGUCGUAGAGAACAAGAUGAAGAGAGAAGAUAGGAACGUACGGAGGAAAGAGGACAAUGAUGAUGACAUUUAGUAAAGAGGAAUUAUUAAUUACUAGUCUGAAUUGAUGCACUUGGUUCAAGCUUC
rnacentral:lncRNA from 1 species